UACGUAGGGUGCAAGCGUUAAUCGGAAUUACUGGGCGUAAAGCGUGCGCAGGCGGUUUUGUAAGUCUGACGUGAAAUCCCCGGGCUCAACCUGGGAAUUGCGUUGGAGACUGCAAGGCUAGAAUCUGGCAGAGGGGGGUAGAAUUCCACGUGUGAGCAGUGAAAUGCGUAGAGAUGUGGAGGAACACCGAUGGCGAAGGCAGCCCCCUGGGUCAAGAUUGACGCUCAUGCACGAA
rnacentral:rRNA from 1 species